rnacentral:tRNA from 1 species
GACCUCGUAGCUCAGCUGGUAGAGCAUAACACUUUUAAUGUUGGGGCCCUGGGUUCGAGUCCCAGCGGGGUCAC